rnacentral:rRNA from 1 species
ACAGCAGUAGCCGCGGGAACACGAAGGGUGCAAGCGUUAAUCGGAAUUACUGGGCGUAAAGCGUGCGUAGGCGGAUAUUUAAGUCAGGGGUGAAAUCCCAGAGCUCAACUCUGGAACUGCCUUUGAUACUGGGUAUCUAGAGUAUGGAAGAGGUGAGUGGAAUUCCGAGUGUAGAGGUGAAAUUCGUAGAUAUUGGGAAGAACACCGGUGGCGAAGGCGGCAACCUGGCUCAUUACUGACGCUGAGGCGCGAAAGCGUGGGGAGCAAACAGGAUUAGAGACCCGGGUAGUCCCUGUCUCUUAUAA